AUGUGAAUUACCUGAGGGUCUUGAUAAAAUGCAGACUCUGAUUCAGCACAUCUGAGAUGGGGUCUAAGAGUCUACAUUUCUAACAGGCUCCCAGGUGAUGCCAAU
rnacentral:pre_miRNA from 1 species